UAAUACCGGAUAUGACACAGAGCCGCAUGGUCUCUGUGUGGAAAGUUUUUCGGUUGGGGAUGGACUCGCGGCCUAUCAGCUUGUUAGUGAGGUAAUGGCUCACCAAGGCGACGACGGGUAGCCGGCCUGAGAGGGCGACCGGCCACACUGGGACUGAGACACGGCCCAGACUCCUACGGGAGGCAGCAGUGGGGAAUAUUGCACAAUGGGCGAAAGCCUGAUGCAGCGACGCCGCGUGAGGGAUGAAGGCCUUCGGGUUGUAAACCUCUUUCAGUAGGGAAGAAGCGCAAGUGACGGUACCUACAGAAGAAGCACCGGCUAACUACGUGCCAGCAGCCGCGGUAAUACGUAGGGUGCGAGCGUUGUCCGGAAUUAUUGGGCGUAAAGAGCUUGUAGGCGGUUUGUCGCGUCUGCCGUGAAAAUCCGGGGCUCAACUCCGGACUUGCGGUGGGUACGGGCAGACUAGAGUGUGGUAGGGGAGACUGGAAUUCCUGGUGUAGCGGUGAAAUGCGCAGAUAUCAGGAGGAACACCGAUGGCGAAGGCAGGUCUC
rnacentral:rRNA from 1 species